UUCUGACCGUAAACGAUGCCAACUAGCGAUCCGCCGGUGGCUCUAAGGCCCUGGUGGGGAGCUUCCCGGAAACGAAAGUCUUCCGGUUCCGGGGGAAGUAUGGUUGCAAAGCUGAAACUUAAAGGAAUUGACGGAAGGGCACCACCAGGAGUGGAGCCUGCGGCUUAAUUUGACUCAACACGGGAAAACUCACCCGGCCCGGACACCGUAAGGAUUGACAGAUUGAUAGCUUUUUCAUGAUUCGGUGGUUGGUGGUGCAUGGCCGUUCUUAGUUCGUGGAUCGAUUUGUCUGGUUUAUUCCGAUAACGAGCGAGACUCCAGCCUACUAACUAGUGCUGGCAUUGCUACUGUGCCGUUGCACUUCUUAGAGGGAUUGGCUGCGUCUAGCGGCACGAAACGGAGCAAUAACAGGUCUGUGAUGCCCUUAGAUGUCCGGGGCUGCACGCGCGCUACACUGGCAAAGGCAGCGUGCUUGUCCGUCUCCGAAAGGAGUCGGUAAACCCUUGAAAAUUUGCCGUGAUUGGGAUCGGAAAUUGCAAUUAUUUUCCGUGAACGAGGAAUUCCUAGUAAGUGCGAGUCAUCAGCUCGCGUUGAUUACGUCCCUGCCCUUUGUACACACCGCCCGUCGCUGCCUAGAACUGAGCCAUUUCGAGAAUAUUCGGGAUCGCUGGUUGCGCGCUCUUCGGGGCGUGCCUCCGGCCGGAGAACGAACGUAAUCGCAGUGGCUUGAACCGGGCAAAAGU
rnacentral:rRNA from 1 species